rnacentral:rRNA from 1 species
GACGAACGCUGGCGGCGUGCUUAACACAUGCAAGUCGAACGGUGAACCAGAGCUUGCUCUGGGGAUCAGUGGCGAACGGGUGAGUAACACGUGGGCAACCUGCCCCAGACUCUGGGAUAACCUCGGGAAACCGAUGCUAAUACCGGAUACGACCACUUCGGACAUCCGACGGUGGUGGAAAGUUUUUCGGUCUGGGAUGGGCCCGCGGCCUAUCAGCUAGUUGGUGGGGUAAUGGCCUACCAAGGCGACGACGGGUAGCCGGCCUGAGAGGGCGACCGGCCACACUGGAACUGAGACACGGUCCGGACUCCUACGGGAGGCAGCAGUGGGGAAUAUUGCACAAUGGGCGAAAGCCUGAUGCAGCGACGCCGCGUGAGGGACGACGGCCUCGGGUUGUAAACCUCUUUCACGCAGGGACGAAGCGAAAGUGACUGUACCUGCAGAGAAGCACCGGCUAACUACGUG